ACCGACCUUAGCUCAGUUGGUGGAGCGGAGGGCUGUAGGUCGCUGGUUGGAUUCCGGCAAGGUCGGAUUUCAAUUUUGUAAUUUCUUUUCUCACCGACCUUAGUUCAGAAGUUGCAUUGUUUUGUCUGUUGAGGUGGU
rnacentral:pre_miRNA from 1 species